rnacentral:lncRNA from 1 species
UGAACACUCGCUCUAGGCAAGGAGAUCAGUUGUUUGUCAGUUGUCACACCAUUUCUUGAUUCAGUCUGAACUUUCACAUACUGCAUGAGAUUUGUAGCCUUUUGUGCUGUUGUAAACGGGAAUAACUGCUUGGUGCAAGAAGAUGUUAUGUUAAACAUUUUAUUUAUAUACAUGUAAAAUCUGGUCAGUUCGUCUUCAUGAAAACAAUGAAAUAAUAGUUUGUUACUUUUUGAGAUAUUUAUGAGCCAUUGUUUUGGACCUUCUUUUAGAACGGUAAUUUUUUAGGGUAUGUUUUGAAAUAACAGAAAAUAUAUUUUUAGCAGAGGAAGAUAUAUAUUUGCUCUCAACUUUUAGGAGUAUUUUUCUGCCUCGACAUUUUUUAACCCCUCUCUAGACAUGGCGUUUCCUAUUAAUUGCUCGAGGCAUAGUUAGAUGCCCAAGUCGAACGGGCUGACCGUCUUUAUUUGGUUUUCGGCACUUUUUCUUUGUUUCUUCCUUUCUUCUUUUUUCUAUUCUAUUUUUCAAAUUCGUGAACAUUUUUGAAACAUGUGCACAGUUUUUGAAAUUCAUGGCUAUCUAAAAUUUAUUAAUGUUCUUUGUAUUCAUGAAUUAUUUUUAAAAUUCAUGAACGUUUUUUAAAUUCACAAAUAUUUUUAACUAAUUAAAUUAUUUCCCUGAAAAAGCCGGUGAAAAACCAUUAAAAAGAAGCAAAAACUCGGAUAAUUCCAUGAAAAAUCGCAAAGGCUAUAUCUUGCCGAUUGUGAAAUAUAGCCCGUGCUUGCCUGUGGAAAGAGAGGGUUGGUAUUUUUUUUUCUGGUUUUGUUUCUUAGCGAGGUUGUUUUCUAUGGUUAUCUUUCUUUCUUUGGCCAUCGGUUUUAUUAGUUUUAUGUGUUUUUGCUUUCUUUUUUUUAUCUAUUUUCCUUCUUUUUUCAUUUAUCUCCUUUUAUUUUUAUUUUUAUUUCUUCAUUAUACUUUUUUUGUAUUGUUUCCUAAUUUUCUUUUCUAUGAUUCGGUCUUAGGAAAAUAUGAAUAUUUUUAAUACAUGAUGAGUAUUUUUCUAAUGAAACUAUUAUUUUUUUUAAUACGUGAUGAAUAUUAUUGAACCCUCUGUAAAGAAAUAUAAGAUCGCUUAGGUAACUACUUAGUUUUUUUUGUCUAAACACACUCACUUUAUUGAUUAUAGAAGUUCAUAAGUAUACAAUGUAGAUCCGGCGGAUUAAAGAGCCACACAUGGCGUCCUAAAGAAAGGCCUAGAGUAUGUUUAGCGAGGCUAUGUGCCUCAAGAUUAGUUUCUCUUCCUUCGAAUAUGAAGGAACAGUGAGAGAACUGCUGAGAUGUAAGAUUGAUCUCCUUAAUAAUGCUAGAGUGUAAGUGUGUAACCCACCCAUAUUUCUGUGGAUAUCUUUGAUCACACCUUGACAGUUUGAAGCUAUAUGUAUGUCUUCAAGUGAUAAGUCAAGAGCAAGUGAAAGCGCUUCUGACAAGCCAAAGCCUCCAAUGAUGUUGGGUCAAUCACACCUUGACAUUUCCUAGUUGAAUCCCUGCAAGCUGUGCUGUAAGUCCCUUCCAUUGCGUCGCGUGACAUGGCACCAUCAACAAAAAUUUUUGCAGUUCCUGUAGACGGGGGGAUCCAUCUGUGAUCUUGCCUCAGAGGUGUUUGAACAGCUGCAUGUUGCUUCAAGGGUUUGCAAAUCUGAAGCUCCCUUAGAUAAUUCUUGACAAACUGAUUAGUAGCAAACGCCCCUGAUAUACAUGCUCAUGGAUAGCCUUUCUCCGAGCAUGCCAAAUCGCCCAUAGUGUGUACAAGUAUCUUGAUUAAAUCCUCAUGCGGUAUAGACUCCAUCAGUGAGAAAAUGAAGCUUUUUGCAUCGGGUUCUUUACAUUGCAUCAUAACUUCCAACAGAUCAUUAUCCUCUAAUGCCCAAACGCAACAUGCCAUGUUACACUCCAUCAAAGAAUGCCGCCAGGAAUCUUCAGAGCCACAAAGUCCACACUCUGAUUGUACUGCCAUCUUCCGGUGUUUGAGCAAGUCUGAAGUUGGCAAGGACUGUUGUGCUAGCCUCCAUAGAAAAAAAUUGAUUUUUGAUGGAACAUCAAUCUUCCAGAUUUUCUUCCGUGCUUUUAUUUCUCCCUCAGAAUUUGAGUUGUCACCACGACCUUCCAACCAUCCUUCCCAAUGGAGUUUAGUUGAUACCGGCAUACGGUAUGCCGAGCAUAUUGAAAAAGCAUCGUUUUGCUCAUGUAUCCAUUACCAGGAAUCAUCGAGCUGUCUUGUGCAAAGCAGGAUGGACAAAAUUGCUUGAGCGUCUGUAGUUACAAAGACUUGAGAGAUCCUCACCAGAUCCCAUUCCAUCGACGGCAAAAUAAGCUCAUUGACCAACUUAGGUGGAUCAAGUACCAGCCAUGUUAUCGGCCGCACGUUCACUACUAGGGAAAACCCUAGCAGUAGCGCGGAUAUUUUGCCUAUCAGUAGCGCGGGACGACGCGCUACUGAUAAGGCGCUACAGCUAACGUGUAGCAGUAGCGCCUGUCAUCCCACGCUACUGCUAUACAUGGCUAGCAGUAGCAAGCUUUAGUGCAGAGAGCACUGCUGCUAAUAUCUGCAGCGCUUUUUAGCCGGAAGCGCUGCUGGUAAGGGAGCGCUACUGCUAACUUUAUUCCCCUCGCUACUGCUAGUUUUAUUAGUUUCUAUUUUUUCUGCAUAUUUGUUUUGUAUUUGAAUAGGCUUUAUAAAAAGAGAGCGGCGUUUUGGCUCCUAGGUGCAUAUGCACCCAUUGUCGAAAUACACAUUUUGAAAAGUUGAAAAAUUCGAAACAAAAAUCCCACGUGUAUAUUCGGACAUUUUAUGUGCGUUCACAAGGUUUCGGUGAAAAACGACGUUUUUUGUGGCUUGUGUAAAAAAGAUAAAGAAAUGCCUCAUGAAUAGUUAGAAUAAAGCAUCAGAAAUUGUCUUUUUUUACACAAGCCACAAAAAAACGUCGUUUUUCACUGAAACCUUGUGCAGGCACAUAAAAUGUCCGGAUAUACACGCGGGAUUUUUGUUCCGAAUUUUUUAAAUUUUCAAAAUGUGUAUUUCGACAAUGGGUGCAUAUGCAGCUAGGAGCCAAAGUCAAUUACCGUUAUAGAAUAAUCUUUAGCAUAUCAUGCACAUACAAAUGUAAUCAUAGCAUAUACAUACAAAUAGUCUCAUCAAAUCAUGUCAUCAUCAUAAUCAUCAUCCAACACAAAGUGGCCUCUCGUCAUCAUCUCAAAAAUAGCGAUACAAGUCUCGAUUACUUGCAACUACAUCGUCAUCCAUCUAAACAAUGAUAUACGCGAGAAGAGCUAUCACUAUGAGUGAGAGCAGAUCUAUGCAGUACAUGAGUUCGUAUCCCUCUCUCACAUUAGCGUGAACCUAAACUAACUACUGGCUGUCGCUCGGGAAACGGAAACCGGUACACCUGGGCCUGACACUCCGGCCACUCCUCGUAUACUCCUGGCAUAGCACUUCUUUGCCAUCGAUGAUCUAUGCACCUGCAUCGUCACAUGAGUCGAUGAUAUGCAACAUAUAUAGUUGAGCAACAGAAAGAGACAGACUUGACAAAAAUAGAAGCAACAUAUCAUAAGCAUAAAUAACAAAGUUCAUCGUACCCGAAAUGCCCUAACUAGAGUGAUCUUCGCUAGUCGAGCAGAACGGUUUAAUUACAUCACAAAUAAAGUUUCAUCGUGCAUAACUCAAAGUUUUGUCAUACAAACUAAACAGACACAUUGUCAUAUAUCGACAAUCACUACAUGUUGUGUCAUCCUUCCAUGCCAGGGAGAUAGUCCCUGAGCUUAGUGAAAGGCUUCAGGUCGAGACGUUGAGAGGCUACGCGUGUUCGGACAUCUUCCCGCGACAUUUGUCCUUCUUCGUAGAACAUCCCUGUUUUUUCGACGACCUCCUUCAUGAUGAUUUGGGCAAGUUCGCACUCGAUGUGAUAGAACUCAGCUCAAAGUCGAUGAUCCUCGAUAUCUCCUAAGUCCUUUGCCCAUUGCAGAAUAUGGGCAUCGCCAGAUCUAGGUGACAUGCGAAGGUUCUGGUGAUCCCGUCUGUACUCCAGCAUGUGGUGUAGGACAUAGAAUCCAUCAUUAAGAGAAUCACUUGGUUGCUGGAUGCAGCAGAAGUCGGUUCUUAUGGCUGAAGGCGGGCCUGCCGUCCCUUGUCUUCUUGUCGUUGACCUCUCCAUCCCGUGUGCCGUAGUAAAAGAUAGCACUGUCGAGAACAGAUUUGAUGUGGGUGUAAUCCUUUUUGGUAAUGUUCUUCAACGAGUCCAAGUAAAGAGUGUGGGAGUACCGGGGGUAGAGGAUGAGGAGGAAGGCGCGCCCGCCGCUGCGCAAAAUAAGUACACCUCAAAUUAAUUAGCCUCCACCGUGCAAAUGAAUGAAUGGAAUCGAAGGAAGGAUAUCCGUGCGGAUGACUUACAGGGGAUGGUAAGGCACGAGAAUGUCCUCCUUGUCCUUAUUGGCGAGCAUGAAAUUGACGAGGUAGUCCCUCGCGUAUUCACAGUGCUUUGCACAGACUGCCAAGAAGCCCUCGUGCAUGAAGUACGGGUCAGCGACACAGAUAAAAGGUAUCUGCUCAACCCCGAUGAGGUAGUUCAUGUGCAAGGCAUAAAGGCGGAAAAAUGUAAAAUCCAGCUUCUUCAAGUGAAACAUGUCGAAGAUGUAAUCGAAUCGAAGGAAGAACUUCUUUGCGGGGAAUCUGUCGAUGUACGACAAUUGCCGCGACACUUUAACCACGUAGAGUGGGUAUCCUGGAUUUUUCGAGGCGAUGAGGCCUUUCUCUAUCUGCAUCACAUCGUCAUGAAGUCUCCUUACAUCGCCGAAUUUGGCCGCUAUCGCUGCUUUAGGUAGGAUUGGUUCACCGGCGAUAUGCCAUUUUGCCGCACCAAGGAUAUCUAUACGGUCUUGAACCCGAGGCUGCUGAGGCGGCUGGAUCAUAGAAGCAACUUUGUUGCCUUUCCUCGGUCUCUUCCUAGACUUCUUUGUUACGGGAAGGUCUUCCAUAAUACAUUCAGACUCUGGAGGCGGCAAUUCAGGCACCGACUCAUGACGCUCAAACCCUAAGUAGGCGCCAGUAUUGACAUACUGUUGAGUGUCAUCGUCAUCCUCAUCCUCAUCUAUGGCGACGUCACUAGCGACUAAUUAAUGGAGCCUCUUCCUCACCCCGUCCGCUAUCACCCAGCACGACAGCCGAUGCUAAUUGGGUAGGUGAGGUGUUGAUGUUCAUACCUGACUGCGUGCUCGUGGGUGUGCUCCCGGCCGCCUCCGGACGAAACAGACUCUUUGGCCACAACAAGACCGACCCAUUGCAAUCACCAAGCCGCCGCGGGGUCUCGUGGUCAUCCCCCUAGUACCAGAGGAGCCAAAUUCUCGUGGUCGGUUUGACACUGGCCACGAAAACCUUGAAGAUGUCUGGGGGUAUCUGCCGGCUAUGGAACAAUGGUUCCUUCGGCUCCAUUAACAUUGCCUUCCACAUCCACCUUCUGGUCGCUGACGGUGUACAAUAUGGUGCACAUGGUUUUGUCGGCCUGCAAAGAAAAUUCUGCGAUGUGAGACAUCCGAAAGGCAACGAAAACAUGAGACUAUACAUUUAUUGAAGAGGGUCGGUGUACCCUGAGGGCGUCGAGCUCAGCCAAAGACGAAGCACCACCGAGGACGUCCGGUGCUGGAGCAGGUGCGGGAGCCGGUGCCGGAGCAGGUGUGGGAGCCAGUGCGGGAGCAGGUGCAGAUGCAGGUGCUGGUGCAACACUAGUCGAGCUGCUCCCGAAGAAGUCAGCAAGGGGAAAGUCUGCUGCAUUUUUUUUCUAGAUUUUGCCUGCUCCAAUUGAAAACAACCGGAACCAAGAUAGUAGACAUAUCUACAAGCGCCCGUUUUGCGGCAGCUACCGCUGUUGCGACUGUCUCAGAUGAUUUCUUCUCAAGCACAAUCUCAACCUUCUUGUCGAUGUUUUGUUCAGUUAACCUCCGUCUUUCCUUUCUCUCCUUCGUGGUCUCACGGUAGUACUUCUUCCACGUGGUGUCGUCUCCGACACCGUGCACGCGUCUAGACGACGGUCGAGUCUCCACCGGGAGUCCUUUCAAUAUGUUCAACGCCCAGUUGAAUGGAGUGCCCCACUUGGGCCUCGCCAACGCCUCAGACGGCGAGUCUCUUUCGGCCGUAAUCCUGUGCUGCUCUCUCUGCAAAAGGCAUAAGGAUCGUUUACAAAUAUGACUAACAUGCAGUUGAAUUGAUCAGAAACUAAAAUUACCAGCAGUCUCAUGAACUCCUCGUGACCGCGUUCGUCUCAAAAACCUUCUUCACUGGGUCCCAAUGGUGCCGGGCCCUGAGGACGUCAUGCUCCUGCGGGACGGUGAACUCCGCCAAGGGGUCUGGGAUGCCCAGACUCUCGGCUUCCGGGUCCUCCUUGGCCCAUAUGGACCUCUUCCCGCCAUAACCACGGCUUCCGAGGUGGUGGCACCCAAUGUUCCUCUGUUGAAGCCCCUUCAUGUACUUCAACUUUUUUGGCAGCUUCGGCCUCGCAAGCCGCCUUGAAUAUUUCAAAGUGCUCUUCCGUGAUUGUCGGAUUACCCUUUACAAUCUCGGAGUAGGGUUCCUUUUUGUUGACGAUCCGAUAUUUCACCCUUGCUUUCCAGGCGGCCAACGCGUCGCUAAACUUGCUCAUGGCGUGUUUGUUUAUCUUCUUCAUUGUCGGGUCCUUAUCUGGAUCUUUAUAAUCCUUUUCAUUCCGGUCCGGGAACAAGAAUACCUGGUGCAGCUUCUUUAGGAGGGAGGGCCUCAUAUUAUCUAUCUUCUUUAGUUUCUCAUCAUUGAUGGUGGCGGUUGUCCGUACGAUGCAGCCUAUUUGAUUGCUGUAGCACGCGCGCGCUUCCGCGGGCGCGUUUGGCUCAAAAUUGCCGUCGUCCUCCUCCGUGACCACCAGUCUAGUAGUCCUGAGCUUGUUAGGAACUCGUUGCCUCUUUGCUUUCUGUUCUAUACCGGCUCCACUAGUCUCGGCGCCGGUCUGAGUCUCAGCACCGGUCUCGAUGUCGGUCUCAGUCUUAGCGCCGGUCUCAGUCUCAGCGCCCGUAUCGAUGUCGGUCUCAGUCUCCGAUGUGACAGGUGGACCCAGCAACAUCAACUGUUGAUCGUCGGCUUCCCUCAAAAAUUCCUCUGUCGCUAGGUACACGUUGUCGUAGUCACCAGAACCCUGUCCUUCAUCGUUGCUAGCCAUGUUUCCUACAAUUAAAUCUAGUCAAUUAAUUCUAGACCUAAUAAAAUGAAUAAUGACAUAAUAAAGGCCUAUGCUUUGCAGGAACGUUGACUCCUUCCCGGUGCGGCAAAUCCCGGGCACUCGAUAUGUCCUAGUUUGUAGCACAAGUCAUGCUGAAAUUCACGGAAAAUUUCGGCAUGACUUUUGCUAAAAAGUGGACAAAUCGAGAACCUGAAAUUUGCCGAAACGGAAAUGAAUCAACAUUCCGGCAAAACAUAGGCCACUCAGCUUCAUUCCGUGGAAACAACAAAGCCACUUGGGCACAAUGGAAACAUGUGCAAACACAAUUGAGGAAUUUGCAUAUAUCCUGACCACUUCAAAUUUGCAUGUCCUAGCGUUUGACACUUCAAGAAAAUCUACGCAAAUCGCAUGCUCUCUCAAACUCAAUUCAAAAACUAAAUAUAGAUUAUAUUUAGUUAACUACUGAACUAAACUUUACUCUAAACUAAACCCUACUACCCUAAUUAACAUCUAGUUAAACAAACUCAAUUCAAAAACUAAACCCUACUGAACUAAUUAACAUCUACAUUAUCUACUACUUAACAUCUAUUAUUACCCUAACUAAAAAAUAUCUACUAUUAACGAUACUGCCCUAGUUAACUAGUACCAUCACUACUACUAAUUAACAUCUACUACUACUACUAAAAAUCAUUAUGUAUGAACCCUAGUACUAAUUAACAUCUACUACUACUGCUAAUUAACAUGGUAGAGGAAGAANNNNNNNNNNNNNNNNNNNNNNNNNNNNNNNNNNNNNNNNNNNNNNNNNNNNNNNNNNNNNNNNNNNNNNNNNNNNNNNNNNNNNNNNNNNNNNNNNNNNNNNNNNNNNNNNNNNNNNNNNNNNNNNNNNNNNNNNNNNNNNNNNNNNNNNNNNNNNNNNNNNNNNNNNNNNNNNNNNNNNNNNNNNNNNNNNNNNNNNNNNNNNNNNNNNNNNNNNNNNNNNNNNNNNNNNNNNNNNNNNNNNNNNNNNNNNNNNNNNNNNNNNNNNNNNNNNNNNNNNNNNNNNGGUGGGGGAGGGUGGGGGGGGCUUACAGAGAGGGGAGAGACGGUGGCGGGGAGUUGCUCGGCAACGGAGGUAGGGGCGGCGAGGGCGGGCUCAGGAUCGGGAGGCGACGGUCCUAGGCGGGCUCGAGGGCGGUGAGGUCGAGGGCAGCAGCGGUGAGGUCGAGGGCGGCGACAGCGAGGUCGAGGGCAGCCCGAGAGGCGGCGGCGGUGAGGCAGGGCGGCCUCGGGCGGCGGCAGUGAGGAUGAGCGCGGCGUCGACGCCGGCAGGAGACGGCGACAAAGUGGGGGCAACGGCGAAUUGGGGAGACGGUGGCGAAGUGGGGCGAGGGAUUUGGGGGAGAAGUGGUGGCCGGAGGGAAACCGUUUUUGGGUUAAGUCAAACAUAACGGUAGUGCGUUACGGAAAACACGCUAUAGCUAAGUUAGCUAUAGCGCAUUUUAGCAAACGUGCUACUGCUAUUCCUUCAUCUUUUUCCCUUUUUGUUUAUUUUUCUUUACAUUUUAUAUUUUACCUUUCUCCUUUUUAUGUUUCUUUCAUUUUAUAUUUGGUUUUCAUUUUUUUUCUUUUUGUUAGCAGUAGCGGUUUACACAUAAACGCGCUGCUAUAAGAAUAUUAGCAGUAGCGCGGUUUUUAAAGAUUGCUACUGCUAUGUGUAGCCCAUCGGCUUGGUGGUUGGAAUUUAGUAGUAGCGAGUUUUCAACGAGACGUGCUACUGCUAUAUAUGCAUCUGCAGCGCGCUUAUUUUGCACGCGCUACUGCUGUCUAGCAGUAGCGAGCUUUUUUAACAAGCGCUACUACUAAAAUUCUGUGUAUAACGUUUUCCCUAGUAGUGGUUGUGCACCCUUGGUAGCCAUUGGUCGCGCCAAAUAUUUGUGGUCAUACCAUCACCAAUGCGGCGGGUCAAACCCUGCACCAUUACAUCCCGUCCUUCAAGGAUGGACCUCCAAAUCUGGGACGGUGCACCCCCAAGCUCGGCAUGAAGAAAUUUAGUCCCAGAAAAAUACUUAGCUUUUAAUAUCCUGACACUUAAGGAGUUGGGUUCUGUCAAUAUACACCAAGCUUGCCUCGCCAAGAGGGCAAAGUUGAAGAGCUCAAUAUCGCGAAAUCCGAGACAACCGACAAACUUAGGUCUCGUCAUCACACUCCAGGACACCCAGCAAGCCUUUCUUUGACCUUCUUUGCUUCCCCACCAAAAUAUCCGAAUCCGAGAAUUAAUAUGUUCACAUAGGCCACGUGGGAGCUUAAAACAUGACAUGUAAUAAAUAGGUACAACCUGGGCAACAAAUUUUAUGAGUACAUCCUUACCUCCUGCUGACAAUAGCUUUGCCAUCCAACCCUUUACCUUGUUCCACACACGGUCUUUGAGAAACAUAAAAGCACCAUUCUUACUAUUUCCCACAUCCGAGGGCAUAUCAAGAUAUUUCUCAAACAAUGAUUCAUUUGCAUUGAGGGUGAUCUUGAUCGAUUCUUCCAAACUCACUAGGCAGCCCUUGCUGAAGAAAAUAGAUGACUUUGACAGAUUGACUCUUUGACCGGAAGCAUGGCAAUAGUUAUCCAAAAGAGUAGACAGCUCAGCCGCUCCAUCCGUACUUGCCUUGACAAACAGCAGGCUAUCAUCUGCGAAAAGUAAGUGGCUUACCGGUGGUGCCAAUGAAGCUACUUUGAUUCCACUGAGGUUCGAUGAUUCACUUUGGUUUUUUAACAGGCAUGAAAGCCCCCCCCCCCCCGCUGCUAACAAGAACAAGUAUGGAGAAAUUGGUCUCCCUGCCAAAUUCCUCUAGACGACUUAAACUCUUCCUGGAGGAAAUAUGCCCUAGAGGCAAUAAUAAAGUUGUUAUACUAUAUUUCCUUAUUCAUGAUAAAGGUUUAUUAUUCAUGCUAGAAUUGUAUUGAUCGGAAACUUAAAUACAUGUGUGAAUACAUAAACAAAUAUCGUAUCCCUAGUAAGCCUUUACUAGACUAGCUCGUUGAUCAAAGAUGGCUAAGGUUUCCUAAACAUGGACAUGUGUUGUCAUUUGAUAAUGGAAUCACAUCAUUAGGAGAAUGAUGUGAUGGACAAGACCCAUCUGUUAGCUUAGCAUAUUAAUCGUUCAGUUUAUUGCUAUUGCUUUCUUCAUGUCAAAUACAUAUUCCUUCAACUAUGACUCCCGGAUACCGGAGGAAUACCUUGUGUGCUAUCAAACAUAACAACAUAACUGGGUGAUCAUAAAGAUGCUCUACAGGUAUCUCCGAAGGUGUUUGUUGAGUUGGCAUAUAUCAAGAUUAGGAUUUGUCACUCUGAGUAUCGGAGAGGUAUCUCUGGGCCCUCUCGGUAAUACACAUCAUAAGCUUGCAAGCAAAUGACUAAGGAGUUAGUUACGAGGUGAUGUAUUACGGAACGAGUAAAGAGACUUGCUGGUAAUGUGAUUGAACGAGUAAAGCAUAGUUCUCGAACCCGUAGGGUCCGCACGCUUAACGUUCGUUGACGAUAUAGUGUUAUAUGAGUUAUAUGAUUUGGUGACUGAAUGUUGUUUGGAGUCCCGGAUGAGAUCAUGUACAUGACGAGGAGUCUUGAAAUGGUCGAUAGGUAAAGAUUGAUAUAUAGGACUAUGAUAUUUGGACACCGGAAGUGUUCCGGAGUGUACCGGGUAGUCAUCGGAGUACCGGCGAGGGUACCGGACACCCCCGGGAGGAUAGUGGGCCUAUUGGGAUAUUAGAGGGGAGCGCACCAGCCCACAUAGGGCUGGCACACCCCCUAUGGCAGCCGCCCAAGUGGGAAAAGGAAAGGGGAGGGAUUCGGCCUCCCCCUCCUUCCCUCUUCCCCCUUUCCUUUCCCCCUCCAAUAAAUAUGGUAGGGGGGCACCAUGAUACGUCUCCAACGUAUCUAUAAUUUAUGAAGUAUUCAUUCUAAUAUAUUAUCAUUCUUGGAUGUUUUACAAUCAUUUUUAUAGCAACUUUAUAUCAUUUUUUGGGACUAACCUAUUGACCCAGUGCCCAGUGCCAGUUGCUAUUUUUUGCUUGUUUUUUACAUCGCAGGAAAUCAAUAUCAAACGGAGUCCACAAAUACCGCGUAACUUUUUGGAGUUUUUUUAUGGACUAGAAGACCAACAAUGGACCAAAGAAGCACCUAGGGGGUGCCCCGAGGGGGGCACAACCCACCAGGGCGCACCUGGGCCCCCAGGUGCGCCCAGGUGGCUUGUGCCCACCUAGGUGGCCUCCCGUACCCCUUAUUUGCACUAUAAAUUCCCAAAUAUUCUGAAACCCUUCAGGGUAGCCCUAGAUCAGAAGUUCCGCCAUCGCAUGGCCUCUGUAUCCACGAGAUCCAAUCUAGACCCUGUUCCGGCACCCUUCCGGAGGGGGAAUCAUCACCGGUGGCCAUAUUCAUCAUCCCGCGGCCACCACGAUGAGGAGGGAGUAGUCCAUCCUCGGGGCUGAGGGUUUGUACCAGUAGCUAUCUGUUUGAUCUAUCUAUCUCUCUCUCUCUCUCUCGUGAUCUAUAUCAUGGGCUUUGUUAAUAUAGUCGGAUCAUAUGAUGUUUCUCCCCUCUAUACUCUUGUUAUGAUGAAUUGAAUCUUUACCCUUCAAAGUUUUGUCUUGUCGGAUUGAAUAUUCAGAGAUGAGAACACAUGAUAUAUGUCUUGCAAUAUGAAUACUUGAGGUGACAAUGAGGUAUCUUAUUGAUUCACUUGAUUGUGUUAUGGCAUUCAACUCGCGGAUUCCCGCAGUGAUAUUGGGGUAAUCUAUGCAUAGUCGUUGAUCCACGUUUUUCUCCGACGGAAACUUUGGGGUCUCUUUAUAGUUCUUUGUGUGGAUUGAGUAUUAUGAAUAUGAAUUUUCUUUGGUGUUAUUCUAGUACGAACUCUAGGAUAGAUCAAACGGAAAAAAUAGCUUUGUGUUAUUUUAGUACGAACUCUUGAAUAGAUCGAACGGAAAGAAUAGCUUUGAGGUGGUUUCGUGACCUACAAACAAUUCCUAUCUUUUUUUCUCCGCUAAUAGGAACUCGAGAAUGAUUCUUUAUUACAUGUUGAGGAAUAAUCAUAUGAUCCAACUAUGUUAGCAUUGUUGAGAGGUUGUAGUAGUGAAAGUACAGACCCUAGGCCUCAUUUUUAAGCAUUGCAACACCAUUUUUGUGCCCGUUUACUAUUUGCUACCUUGCUGUUUUUAUUUAUUCAGAUUAUAAAAAUAUAUUUCUACCAUCCAUAUUACACUUUUAUCACCAUCUCUUCACCGAACUAGUGCACCUAUACAAUUUGCCAUUGUAUUGGGUGUGUUGGGGACACAAGAGAUUUCUUGUAUUUGGUUGCAGGUUCGUUUGAGAGAGACCAUCUUCAUCCUACACCUCUCACGGAUUGAUAAACCUUAGGUCAUCCACUUGAGAGAAAAUUGCUACUGUCCUACAGAACUCCGCACUUGGAGGCCCAACACGUGUCUAUAAGAAUAAAAUUGCGUAGUAGACAUCACACCACUUGGGAAGGGGUCCCAAGUAGGAUUCGACCUACUUGGGGGCGCCUCCUGGUUGCUCCCUCCUCCCCCACCUAUAUAUAUGUGGGAGGGGAGCGCCUAACACAACCACGACAAUUGCUUAGCCGUGUGUGGCUCUCCCCUCCACCGUUUACACCCCCAGUCAUAUUUUCGUAGUGCUUAGGCGAAGCCCUACGCAGAUAACUUCACCAUCACCAUCGUGCUACUAGAACUCAUCUACUACCUCGCCGUCUUGCUGAAUCAAGAAGGCAUGGACGCCACCGAGCUGAACGUGUGCUGAACGUGGAGGUGCCCUACAUUCGGUACUCGAUCGAUUGGAUCGCGAACAAGUUCGACUACAUCAACCACGUUGUCCAAAGCUUCCGCUUACAGUCUAUGAGGGUACGUAGACACACUCCCCCCUCAUUGCUAUGCAUCUCCAUGGAUAGAUCUUGCGUGUGCAUAGAAUUUUUUUUGUUUUCCAUGCAACAUUUCCCAACAGUGGCAUCAGAGCCAAGUCUAUGCGUAGAUGAUAUGCACGAGUAGAACACAAAGAGUCAUGGGCGGUGAUAGUCAUACUACUUACCACCAACGUCUUAUUUUGUUUCGGCGGUAUUGUGGGAUGAAGCGGCCCGGACCAACCUUACAUGUCCAUGCACAUGAGACCGGUUCCACCGACUGACAUGCAACUAGUUUUGCAUAAAGGUGGCUUGCGGGUGUCUGUUUCUCCUACUUUAGUUGAAUCGAAUUUGACUAUGGCCGGUCCUUGAAGAAGGUUAAAACAACAAACUUGAUAAUCACCAUUGUGGUUUUUGCGUAGGUAAGAAUGGUUCUUGCUAGAAGCCUGUAGCAGCUCGUAAAACUUGCAACAACAAAGUAGAGGUUGUCUAACUUGUUUUUGUAGGGAUGUUGUGAUGUGAUAUGGUCAAGAUAUGAUGUGAUAUAUGGUGAUGUAUGAGAUGAUCAUGUUUUGUAAUAUCGACAACCGACAUGAGCCUUAGGGUUGUCUCUUUAUUGUAUGAAGUUCAAACGCCAUGUAAUUGCUUUACUUUAUCGCUAUGCGUUAGCAAUAGUUGUAGAAGCAAUAGUUGGCGAGACAACCCCGACGCAACGAUGGAGUUCAAGGUGUCGAGCCGGUGACGAUGGAGUUCAUGACGAUGCAUUGGAGAUGGAUAUAAAAGCACAAGAUGAUGAUGGCCAUAUCAUGUCACAUAUUUCGAUUGCAUGUGAUGUUUAUCUUUUAUGCAUCUUAUUUUGCUUAGAACGGCGGUAGCAUUAUAAGAUGAUCCCUUCACUAAAUUUCAAGGUAAAAGUGUUCUCCCCGAGUAUGCACCAUUGCCAAAGUUCGUCGUUUCGAAGCACCUCGUGAUGAUCGGGUGUGAUAGACUCUACCGUUCACAUACAACAGGUGUAAGAUAGUUUUGCACAUGCAGAAUACUUGGGUUAAACUUGAUGAGCCUAGCAUGUACAGACAUGGUCUCGGAACACUGGAGAUCAAAAGAUCGAACGUGAGUCAUAUAGUAGAUAUGAUCAGCAUAGAGAUGUUCACCAUUGAUGAAUACCCCAUCUCACGUGAUGAUCGGACAUGUGUUAGUUCAUUUGGAUCAUGUAUCACUUAGAUAACAUGAGGGGUGUUUAUUUAAGUGGGAGUUCAUUAGUGAUUUGAUUUACUGAACUUAAUUUAUCAUGAACUUAGUCUUAUAAUUUUGCAUAUGUAUGUUGUAGAUCAAUGGCCCGUGCUACUGUUCCCUUGAAUUUUAAUGCGUUCCUAGAGAAAGCUAAGUUGAAAAAUGAUGGUAGCAACUACAUGGACUGGGUUCAUAACUUGAGGAUUAUCCUCAUUGCUGCACAGAAGAAUUAUGUCCUUGAUGCACCUCUAGGUGAUGGACCUGCUGCAGGAGCUGAAGCAGACGUUUUGAAUGCCUGGCAGGCUCGAUCUGAUGACUACUGUAUAGUUCAGUGUGCCAUGCUUUACGGAUUAGAACUGGGAUUCAAAGACAUUUUGAACGUCAUGGAGCAUAUGAGAUGUUUCAAAAGUUGAAGUUAAUAUUUCAAGCAAAUGCCUGGGUUGAGAGAUAUGAAGUCUCCAACAAGUUCGAUAGCUGCAAGAUGGAGGAGAAAAGUUCUGUCAGUGAACACAUACUCAAAAUGUCUGGGUAUUAUAAUCACUUGACUCAGCUGGGAGUUAAUCUUCCAGUUGAUUGUGUUAUUGACAGAGUUCUUCAAUCACUGCCACCUAGGUACAAAUUCUUCGUGAUGAACUAUAAUAUGCACGGGAUGACCAAAACAAUUCUCGAGCUCUUCACAAUGCUUAAGACUGCGGAAGUAGAAAUCAAGAAGGAGCAUCGAGUGUUGAUGGUUAACAAGACCACUAGUUUCAAGAAAAAAGGCAAGGGAAACAAAGGGAACUUCAAGAAGAAUGGCAAGCAAGUUGCCACUCCCGGGAAGAAGCCCAAAGCUGGACCCAAGCCUGAAACCGAGUGCUUCUACUAUAAAGGAAAUGUUCACUAGAAGCGGAACUGCCCCCAAAUACUUGGUGGAUAAGAAGGAUGGCAAAGUGAACAAAGGUAUAUUUGAUAUACAUGUUAUUGAAGGAAAUAUGACCUAGUGGCAAUAAUAAAUUUGUUAUUUUAUAUUUCCUUAUUCAUGAUAAAGGUUUAUUAUUCAUGCUAGAACUGUAUUGAUCGGAAACUUAAAUACAUGUGUGAAUACAUAAACAAAUACUGUGUCCCUAGUAAGCCUCUACUAGACUAGCUCGUGGAUCAAAGAUGGUUAAGGUUUCCUAACCAUGGACAUGUGUUGUCAUUUGAUAAUGGGAUCACAUCAUUAGGAGAAUGAUGUGAUGGACAAGACCCAUCCGUUAUCUUAGCAUAUUGAUCGUUCAGUUUAUUGCUAUUGCUUUCUUCAUGUCAAAUACAUAUUCCUUCGACUAUGACAUUAUGCAACUCCCGGAUACCGGAGGAAUACCUUGUGUGCUAUCAAAUGUCACAAUGUAAUUGGGUGAUUAUAAAGAUGCUCUACAAGUAUCUCCGAAGGUGUUUGUUGAGUUGGCAUAGAUCAAGAUUAGGAUUUGUCACUCUGAGUAUCGGAGAGGUAUCUUUGGGCCCUCUCGGUAAUACACAUCAUAAGCUUGCAAGUAAAUGACUAAGGAGUUAGUUACAAGGUGAUGUACUACGAAACGAGUAAAGAGACUUGCUGGUACUGAGAUUGAACUAGGUAUGAAGAUACCGACGAUCGAAUCUUGGGCAAAUAACAUACGGAUGGACAAAGGAAAUUACGUAUGUUGUCAUAACGGUUCGACCGAUAAAGAUCUUCAUAGAAUAUGUAGGAGCCAAUAUGGGCAUCCAGGUUCCGCUAUUGGUUAUUGACCGGAGAGGUGUCUCGGUCAUGUCUACAUAGUUCUCAAACCCGUAGGGUCCGCACGCUUAACGUUCGUUGACGAUUUAGUGUUAUAUGAGUUAUAUGAUUUGGUGACCGAAUGUUUCAGAUUCUCGGAUGAGAUCAAAGACAUGGCGAGGAGUAUCGAAAUGGUCGAGAGGUAAAGAUUGAUAUAUAGGACGAUAAUAUUCAGGCACCGGAAGUGUUCCGGAGUGUACCGAGUAGUCAUCGGAGUAUUGGAGGGGGUACCGGACACCCCCGGGAGGAUAGUGGGCUCAUUGGACCAUUAGAGGGGAGCACACCAGACCACAUAGGGCGGGAGCACACCCUAUGGCAUCAUCCCAAGUGGGGAAAAGGAAAGCGGAGGGAUUCGGCCCCCCUUCCUUCCCUCUUCCCCUUUCCCCCUCCGAUAAAUAUGGUAAGGUGGGGGGGGGGCACUUGAGAAGGGACCCCAAGUAGGAUUCGGCCUACUUGGGGCACCUCCUGGCCGCUCCCUCCUCCCCACCUAUAUAUAUGUGGGAUUGGGUGCCUAGAACAACCACGACAAAUGCUUAACCGUGUUGAAAGAACUUGCGGUGCCCCCAUGUUUGGUUUUGGUAAUUGAUGACAAUCUCUAUGGACUAAUGGUUGCCUUGAGUUUUAUUUGAAGGAUUUAUCCGUAGGCUUUUCUUGGAGUCCAUUUGUUGGUUUCAAGGAGAGUUUGUGAUGACCAAGGUGCCAUUCAAGGAAUUACCUAAAGAUUGGUCAUGUGAGAGGUUGAUCAAGACUAAGUCAAAGAGUGAAUCAAGUUGAUCAUCACACAAAGCGUAGAAGAUGUACCGAGAGGGAUCAAACGAUCCCAUGGUAUGGUAAGCAUUGUCAAUUAUGCUUUGUGUACUAACCCAUGAUCUUCGUGAGAGUUCUUUGUGGGGUUAGGUUGUGGUGUGCAAGUUCAAGUGAAGCAUCACGAAGAGAUCGAAUGAUUGAAGCUUGCCGUCCAUUGUGGUGACAAUGGACUUGUGAAGAUGUGCGGAAGUGUGGCUCACCCAUAGUGGAGUAUGGGGGAGCAAUCAACUAGUCUUCAUCGAGCCAACGCAAUCAAGAAAGGUGGUCCAACUUGAGGGAGUCAAGAUUGUCAUCAUCUAGCUCAAGUGGACCAUGUGCAAGGCAAAGGUUUGCCCUUGAUAGGUUUUCCAUUUUACUGGUCUCAUGGUGGUAGUUGGGAGACCGGGUUUUAGGAUCGAUUGCCGUACUAUCAAGGGGGGGCUCUCGAUGAGUAACUUGAACGUAUCAUUCAUAUAGAGAUCAAACCAUUGCAUCCUUGCAUCAUCUUUCUUGGUUCUUGUUUGGUUCUCGUUGUGAGUUUUGGAGCUUAUGGUCAUCUUGAGUUUGCUCAAUUCGGAGCUCAUAUGAAGAAGUUAUGGCAGUUCUGUUUUUCUCCCUGCGGUAGUACCGCGGUGGCAGCGGUGGUACCGCUGGUAGCGUCAAGCGGUAGUACCGCUCCAGUACCGCUCUACUACCGCCUCGAUUUUGGGUCUUGCACUUUUCAUGUCGGGUUUAGCAGUAGUUGCACGGCAGUAAGGCACGGCAGUUCUGCCUAUAAGCGGUAGUACCGCUCCGUUUGGGCGGUAGUACCGCCUAUAAGCGGUAGUACCGCUUCGGUCGGGCGGUAGUACCGCUACUGCUUUACUGCCGCCGUACUCUGCUCUGCCCUGCCUCUUUUGGUCUGGUGUUCUGCUCCUCCAGCGGUAGUAUCGCUAGGGUGAGCGGUAGUACCGCUUAUAAGCGGUACUACCGCCCCAAGGUUCAUGUUUUGUUGCUCCUUUUCCUUGCCUCUUCCGCCCGAGCGGUAGUACCGCUGGUGUGCGAGCUGAGCACAUAACAGUUGGAUUUUCCCCCUCCUAUAAAAGGGGGUCUUCUUCCCCAAUGAACCUUAUCCUUUGAGCUCGUGUUCUUCCCCCAUUGUUGACCUUCUCCGAGCUUGCUAUCUCUCAAUCCCUCCAUGGAUUCUUGCUAGUUUUUGAGGGAAAAGAGAGAGGAGAUCUAGAUCCACAUUUCCACCAAUCACUUUCUCCUCUAUGUGAGGGAACCCCUUGGAUCUAGAUCUUGGAGUUCUUGGUGUUCUCCUUCUUAUUCUUCCUCUCAUUUUCCUCCCUAGCAUUAGUUGCUUCGGUGGGAUUUGGGAGAGAAGGACUUGGGCACUCCGUGUGCCCUUGCCAUUGCAUUUGGUGCAUCGGUUUGAGUUCUCCAUGGUGAUACGUGGAAGUUUCAAGUUGAGAAGCUUAUUACUCUUGGGUGCUUGGUGCCCUUGAGCUUGUUCCUCUUGGGUGCUUUGGCGCCCUAGACGGUUGGUGGUGCUUGGAUCUCAAUCAUUGUGGUGUAAAGCUCCGGGCAAGCGUCGGGGUCUCCAAUUAGGUUAUGGAGAUCGCACCGAGCAAUUUGACGGGUACCGGUGACCGAUCCCAAGGGUUGCCAAAGUGUACGGGUUCGGUGACCGCCCCCGAGGGUCGCCAUUUGUACGGGUUCGGUGACCGCCCUCAAGGGUCCCUUAGUGGAAUCACAACAUCUUGCAUUGUGCGAGGGCGUGAGGGGAUUACGGUGGACCUAGUGGCUUCUUGGGGAGCAUUAUGCCUCCACACUGCUCCAAACGGGGAUUAGCAUCCGCAAGGGUGUGAACUUCGGGAUACAUCGUUGUCUCCGCGUGCCUCGGUUAUCUCUUACCCGAGCCCUUUACUUAUGCACUUUACUUUGUGAUAGCCAUAUUGUUCUUUGUCAUAUAUCUUGCUAUCACAUAGUUACUUAUCUUGCUUAGCAUAAGUUGUUGGUGCACAUAGGUAAGCCUAGUUGUUUUAGGUUUUGUGCUUGACAAAUUAACCGCUAGGUUUAUUUCGCAUUUGUUCANNNNNNNNNNNNNNNNNNNNNNNNNNNNNNNNNNNNNNNNNNNNNNNNNNNNNNNNNNNNNNNNNNNNNNNNNNNNNNNNNNNNNNNNNNNNNNNNNNNNNNNNNNNNNNNNNNNNNNNNNNNNNNNNNNNNNNNNNNNNNNNNNNNNNNNNNNNNNNNNNNNNNNNNNNNNNNNNNNNNNNNNNNNNNNNNNNNNNNNNNNNNNNNNNNNNNNNNNNNNNNNNNNNNNNNNNNNNNNNNNNNNNNNNNNNNNNNNCCUCUAGGCGACAUCCACGAUCUUUCACGUGUGCGGUGCCCCCCUCCACCGUUUACACCCUCGGUCAUAUUUUCGUAGUGCUUAGGCAGAGCCCUACGGAGAUAACUUCACCAUCACCGUCACCACGCGGUCGUGCUACCGGAACUCGUCUACUACCUUGCCGUCUUGCUGGACUAAGAAGGCCUGGAUAUCACCGAGCUGGGCGUGUGCUGAACGCGGAGGUGCCAUACGUUCGGUACUCGAUCAGUUGGAUCGCGAAGAAGUUCGACUACACCAACCGCGUUGUCAAACGCUUCUGCUUACGGUCUACGAGGGUACGUAGACACACUCUCCCCCUUGUUGCUAUGCAUCUCCAUGGAUAGAUCUUGCGUGUGCGUAGAUUUUUUUUCCAUGCAAUGUUUCCCAACACUUCCAAUUUGGUGCCAUUAAACAAUACAGAGAAUGAUUCAGAGCUUACCAUCCUCAUAAUCAGGCUAACCCAUGAUGGUGCAAACCCCAUCUUUAACAUAAUGGCCUCGAGAUAUUCCCACUCAACUCGGUCAUAUGCUUUCAUCAUGUCAAGUUCUAGCGCACAAAAUCUAUUUUUCUUCGCUUUAUUCUGCUUCAUAAAAUGACGGCACUCGUAAGCUGUAAUGAUGUUAUCGGUAAUCAACCGGCCAGGGACAAAGGCUGAUUGCUCCUCAGAAAUAAUAUCAGGAAAUAUUUGUUUCAAUCUCUUGGAUAGAACUUUGGAAGCAAUCUUGUAGAGCACAUUGCACAAGCUUAUUGGCCGAAACUGAGUGAGCUGUGUGGGAUCUUUUACCUUUGGAAUCAGGACUAAGAUUGUCUCAUUGAUCACCUCCGGGCUCUCCUCGGUCCUCACCACGAAGAAUCCGCAAUACUGCAUUAGUCACCUCUUGGCCACAAAUGUACCAAUGGCGCUGAAAGAAGUGUGCGGGGUACUCAUCUGGGCCUGGUGCUUUCAUCGGAAACAUUUGGAAUAGUGCAGUUUUUACCUCUUCUCCUGAAAAUGCCGCUAUUAACAUAUCAUUCAUUGCGGGCAUUACCUUAUUCGGGACCAAAUCUAGUACCUCGGCCAUACCAGACGUCCCAUCAAAAGUGAACAAGUUUUGGUAAAAAGAAUUCACCAUAGCUGCCAUCUCGGUAGGAUCUUGCGUAACCGAGUCAUCUUCCCUCGUCAAAUUUUUGAUCUUAUUCUUCUGCCGAUGCAUGAUGGCCCUGCGCUGGAAGAACUUGGUAUUUUUAUCACCUUCCAACAACCAGUCGACUCGCGAGCGUUGCCGCUGUAAUAUUUCUUCCAUAUGGUAUAACUAAACCAACCUAUCCAUAAUUUUUGACUCUGCACGUGAUGGGUUAGAAUGUUGGGGAUCAUUCUGCAAAGUGCUAAGCUAUUUUUUUGGUUUCUUUAUUUCCCUUCCAACAUUGCCAAUGUUUGCUCCACUCCAUUGGACUAGCGAAGCCAACAAACUGCUCAAUUUUCUGCUCAUGGUCUGUGCUCAUGGUAGAUGAUGAUUAUUUAUGAAAUAUAUAAUGAACAUUUUUAUUACACAUUGAAACAUUUUGUGAAAUACAUGAUGAAUAUUUUUAAAAUACAUGACAAACACUUUAAGUAUGCGAUCAACAUUAAGUUUGAAUUACACAAUGAAUAGGUUUAUGAAAUCAUGAUGAUUUUUUUAAUUUGCCAUGAACAUUUUGUAAAUACAUGACUUGCAGUUUUAAUACAUGAUGGGUAUAUUUUUAAUGCAUAAUGGAUAAUUUUUGGAAAUACAUGGUGACCAUUUUUUAAUGCACCCCUCCUCCCAAUAACAUAUAGUCACCCACACCCGCGAACCAAACUAGACUAAUCCAAUNNNNNNNNNNNNNNNNNNNNNNNNNNNNNNNNNNNNNNNNNNNNNNNNNNNNNNNNNNNNNNNNNNNNNNNNNNNNNNNNNNNNNNNNNNNNNNNNNNNNNNNNNNNNNNNNNNNNNNNNNNNNNNNNNNNNNNNNNNNNNNNNNNNNNNNNNNNNNNNNNNNNNNNNNNNNNNNNNNNNNNNNNNNNNNNNNNNNNNNNNNNNNNNNNNNNNNNNNNNNNNNNNNNNNNNNNNNNNNNNNNNNAAGGAAGUGUUGUGAUCACCAUGUAAUAGCCAGUUUGCACGACCUCGUUGUAAGCAGUAGAUCUCCUCUUCCUCUAAAAGAUUUUCAAUAAGAAAAAAAAUCUCCUUUUGUCAUGCUUGGGAAUGCGCAUUCAUAGGACCCUUUCGAAGAUUUUCUAAAUCUUUUUUGAGUUUAUUAAUUCUUUUUUUGGACCUCUGAGUAUAUCACGGUCCCAAAUGUGCAAAUCCACAUUCACUGCCCGUGUACGCUCAGCUAGAGACAGCCCAAUACCCCACAUCUUUGUUUUUUCCCUUGAUGCACCCAGAAUUAUACAACUGACUCUUCUUGGAGCCAUAGAGCUUCAAAUUGUCUCAGUCGACUCUUUGGGUGGUUAAACAUAUUACCAUCAAAAUAUUCUGUAUCCAGUAUGAGAGGACGAUGAUCAGAGUGUACAUGUUCUUCAUUUAUGACAGUAGACCGAGAAAAUUUGUUCGCGCAUUUCACAUUACAAACCGCACGAUCAAGUCUCUCCCUAAUAUCGCCUCUCCUCCAAGUGAAAGGAUCCCCAAUACAUCCCAUGUAUUCCAGACCGCACUCUCCCAAAAAAUAGCGGAACUCUCACAUCAUUGCAUUUGGUCUCGCAUUACCACCCUCCUUUUCCGAAGAAAGUAGAAUUUCAUUAAAGUCUCCCAAAACCACCCAAGGUGAAGUAAUUACCCUUAUUGUGCAAGUUCCGAAUAUCAUCCCACAACAAGUUACGAUCACUCUAGUUCGGAUGACCAUAAAACCCUGUAAAACGCCACUGUACAACAUUUUCAUUCAUAAACAGAACAUCAAUAAAAUUAGUCGACACAUAGUUUAAAACAAUCAAUAAAAAGACCCAAUGAGGGUUGGCUUGGAUGGUGGGCCCGUCUACAUAGGGUACCAUAUUAGGACAUAAUCAACCGACUUGCUUCAAAAGUGCUGCAGACCGUAUUAGCCAUAGACCUGGAAUGGGACGGGCUGAACCGAUUAUGCAUGCCAAGUAGCUCCCUCUACAUGUGUGAAAAGGCGGAUGUAGCCAGGUAGGUGCACUCACCCUAGGGCGGGACCGCCGGAUUGGGGUCUCAACGCGCGGGCCUAUAGUAAGGCAAGGUGAAAAUGUAGAUGUAAUGUACAUCUUGGCUAAAGGUUAUGGUUCCUUGGUCUAGUCGUGUGCCAAAGCAGUGCAUCAGUGACUCAGACCAAGCGAUGUUAUGGGUAAAAUAGUACACCUUUGAUCAGAGCAAAAUGUGUUAUCACUACCAACUUUGGGGUUUGGAAGUGCGUCAUGUGGGUUUUCCUCUAACAUAGGAUGUAAGAUCCACAUCCCUCUGUCACAAGUAGAUUUUAUAAGUAAAUAUGUUUUCCACAAAGUGGGUUAAAGGAAGUAUUUUACUUACAAACUAUUUUGGGCCAAUGGCUCGGUGGCUAUGACCGUUAAGUUUUCUUCGUUAAAAUUCAUGAAUCCACUUAUCCCAGCGACAUGUGGAGUAUGUACUGUAUUUUAUAUGUGCUCAACCCUCUUCCUAUGUUGUUUUUUCAGAGGAGUGAGUUGUGAAAACUCCGGGGAGAUAGAGACCAGUACUUAUGAUGAGAUUGGUCAUUUUCAUGACUUCGACUUUGCUGAAGUGCAGUAUGAAAAUAUGGGGAAGCCGAUGUUGAAGGCUAUGAAGAGUAGAUCCUCAGGAGGAUUUGUCUAGAAGGCUCAUACUAGGAGCUGGCGGUGUUCUAUCGUCGUGACCGUUUAGACUUAGUUGACAUAUGAGGUGUUAUUGUAAUAAAAGCCUACUUGUUGAUAUGCAUUUCUUCUAUAACUCAGCACGCACCUCCCUGCCACUCCCAGGUACCACCGCCCGAUGCUAUUGUGCCGUGCUGGUGGAUGUUUGGUGUACACAUCAAUUUACUCUCCUGUUACAACACACGAGCAUAUGUGCUAGUUUAUCAAAAAAAUGCAAUAGCCAGUACAAUAAAAAGACAACCGGAUGCAAACCGGCCAGUACAGCAUAAACUUACAUUGCAAAACAUACUAAAAUUAUUCUUUCUCCGAUUGUAUGCUGCCCACAGAGAAUGAAAAUUGCACUGAACCAACAAUAAAGGAAGGGGCACCUGCAAACGUCUUCGCCACACAAACUUUAAAGAUUGCAAUAAUCACUAGCCCCAUUAGCCAAGAUCUAGAAGUAAGAAGCAUAGGUUGGAGCAACACCCCAUGCAAAACAUGGUUAUUGUCCAUCACCAUCGGAUAGAGGUAGACCCGGCCAUGGCAGCUCGGCCCGAAAGCCGAAGAUAAGCCCUAAUAUGGCAUAAAUCAAUAUUUUAUUAGAAAUAUAGGUAUAGUAUAUUAUUUGAAUAUCCUGAAAUUCAUUUAAUAAAAAACACAAUAUUCAUGUGUUUUGGGCCGGGCCGGGCUCGGGCUUAAAAUUUUGAGGUCGGGCUUUGCAAAGCCCGGCCCGAAAAAUGUCCAGGUUUAGGCAGAGGGUUGGAGAAACCGGAUCAAGUUGCAGAAGAUGUUGAAAUUGUCGCUUCAAUGGCCAACCGGUUGCUCUUUGUAAAGGGCACACCAAUUAUCAAGAUCUGAAACGUGUCAAUAGGUUUAGGAUCUAGAGACACAAACUCUCACAUGCCCUUCACCGGCGGGGGAUCGAACAUCGUAGAGGUAGGAAGAGACCGAAGGGACCUUAUUCCAACAUGCCAUCACCGCCACCACCUAGUCGAUUUCUCUCGGGAAACAAAACCUAGGGAGAAAAAAAGGAUGGAUGGGUCCCUACUAUCCUUGCCGCCGACAAAGCCACCGGACGAGGAAGAGAAGGGGGAGCGACGUGGCGGUGUGGGGAAGAAACUUGGCGACGACGGCCAUGGUUUAGAGAGUCUGUGCUACCAAGAUCGAGAUAUUUUGCGGUGGGAGGGUGUGCGACUGGUGCGUUCUCCAUUGCGCACUACGCGGAUUAGGGAAUUCCUAGCCGAGCUGGUGUGUCUAUGACGCCCAUUGUGUGUUGGCUAUUGUCAUCACCAACACAUUCUUUGUCUGCAUGACUGCAUCUCAUUGAUUUGAAUUCCUUCAGGUUACAUUCUGUCCAUAGGAUCAAAAUCGUGCUGAAAACAGAAAUCAUUAGUUAGGGGUACCUUUGCAGCUAUGUUGGCAAAUGUUAAUAACCAUUUUAGCUCAUCGGAAUUAUGAGUAGGAGUUACAGUAUGGUCAAACACGAUCGGUUUGCACAGCCUGACCUCAUGUUUUUAAAUAGUUUGGCCGUUACGCUAGCUUCCUACUUGACACUAGUUCAAGGGAAGUGGCGGCACGCUCUGCUCGUGCCGGAAGUAGUCGCCGGCGUCCACCCUGCGCUUGACCUCUGCGAGUCUCCUAAAGUUUGCCGGACCGAAAUACCUCUCGCCCCACACCUUGCCACUUUGGUAGCUCGUUACUCCGCCGACCACCGUGUUCAUGCCAAUGUCGAGGUCCCGGUAGUUAACGUACGCGGCCCUCGGAUUCUUGCUCACGAACGGCGCCAUGAAGUCGUACAGGCUCCCGAUCCAGUUCGGCUUAGGCGUAGCGUCGCCCCCCGCCCCUUUGCCGUUCCAGUGCUGCACGUACUGGAUGUUGUAGAGCACGCUGCUCCGGUGCGGGAACGGGGUGUCGUUGGCGGUGAUGUGGCCCAUUCUUCCACCGUGCGGCUCCAGGACGAGCUGCCCCGACGCCGCGUCGUUGGGCCAGAGGAAGAUCUUCUCCCACGUCUCGUUGGUGAGGGCUUUCUCGACGUAGUCGGACUUGUUCUUAAUGAAGGGACCCAGGGCCAUGGACCGGUUGAUGGUGGCGUCGCCGAAGUAUAUGUACGCCGUGAACUGCAGCCAGCUCAUCUCCUUGCAGUCGGCGUGCGUCACGCCGAGCUCCGGGAAUCGGCUGCGCAACGUCGGCACCACCGCGUUGCACUUGCCGAGGUACAGGGCUUCGAAGGUGGCCUGACGAUUUUCUACGAUAACACGUACGGUGAGGUCGUCCGGGAGCACGGGCGCGAGCGUUUGCCAUUUGGUCACCGCGUUGACGGCGCCCUGGUCCAUGGUCUUGGCGAGUUUGAAGAAGGUCACCGUCGGUGGGACUGGCACGAGCCUCACCUUCCACGACAGCACGAUGCCGAAAUUGCCGCCGCCCCCGCCGCGGAUGGCCCAGAAGAGGUCGUCCCCCAUGGCCUUCUUGUCCGCCAACAGAUUCCCGUAGGCGUCGACCAUGGUGGCGUCGAGAACGUUGUCGGCGGAGAGGCCGUACUUGCGCAUCAUUAGGCCUAUGCCGCCGCCGCUCAAGAUGCCCCCCACGCCCACGGUCGAGCACACGCCAGCCGGGAAGCCCAGCCCUGGAGCCGCCGUGGCGACGUGGUGGUAGAGCUCCCCGAGCGCCGCCCCGGAGUCGACCCACGCGGUGGCCUUGCGUGGGUCGACGCGGACGGCGUGGAGCUUGGCGAGGUCGAUUACCGCGAACGCCUCGCUGUUGGGGCAGACUGACCGGUAGGAGAGGCCCUCGUAGUCGUGCCCGCCGCUGCGGACGCGGACGCGCACGCCGUGGCGGCGCCCACAGCGCACGGCGGCCUGGACGUGGGACGCGUUGGUGGGCAUCACGAUGCAGAGCGGUGGGCUCGCCGUGGCCGGCGCCACGAACCUGGCGUUCCUGAUGGACGACACCAGGAGCUGCUUGAACGACGGUGAGUUCGGCGUCUGCACGAGCUGGCUGGGGACGCUCGUGGAGAUGCAGCGGACGAAGUCGGUGUAGUUGGAGGUCGACGCAAGGGAGGGGGCGGGCAAGAACAAACCCAAGAAACAAACCAUGAGAACGAGCGCUAUGCUUGCCAUUUCGAUGAAUCUACCGCUCUUCGUACACUGAUACGGUGCUUCUGUUCUAAUUCACCUCGUAUAUAUAACCAUGUGGUCAUCCUUCUCUUCAAGGGCCGGUUAAUACAUGCAUGGAAGUUUCUUCCCAAAUCAAGUAGGAGAAGUCCGUUUCGAAAAAAUAAAAUCAAGUAGGAGAAGUCCGUUUCGAAAAAAUAAAAUCAAGUAGGAGAAGUCCGUUUCGAAAAAAUAAAAUCAAGUAGGAGAAUAUAACCAUGCGGUCAUAUCCUUCUCUUGAAGAGCUGGUUAAUUACAUGCAUGGAAGUUUCUUGGUGCUUGUUCUAAUUCACCUCGUAUGUAACCAUGUGGUCAUCCUUCUCUUGAAGGGCCGGUUAAUUACAUGCAUGAAAGUUUCUUCCCAAACCAAGUAGGAGAUGAAUAUGAUUGGCCGGAUAGGAGGACAAUGUCAUAUAUCUUCAGCUUAUUAGGGUUCAAGUCCUAGAUUUACAUUGGUGAUUGCAUUAUCCUCGUAUUUAUUCCAGGCUUCCGGCGAUGUUCGUUGAGUGGGAGGAGACGUUUCCGUCGAUUGUGAGGCGUCUGUAGUGACUUUGUAAAAUCUCAAUAUACUACACUGGCCCAGUCUCUCAGAGGUGCUCGUAUAUGUGAAUGAUUUCAAUUGUACUAUGUUCAAAAAAAGAUAUUUAUUAUUUGUCAUUAUCUCUAAUAUUGAAUCUCUAACAUACCAAAAGAGGAGUUGGUAGGCCGGCACGCUUGGUUCAUUUUCAUCUUCAUAAUUUAUUUUUGCCUCCACAUCCCAUCACCUCCUCCGUGAUGUUUUUUCCUUCAUUAAAUAAAGGAUCGGUUCGCCCAAUUUCUUUUCAUAUUUUCAUGCUUAGUUUGGAUGGUGCCAAUUGAAUUCAAUCACUUAAAUAUUAGGUAAUUAAGAAUUUGAAAAUCACACCUUACACAUAGAAGAUUUUUCUCGAUAACCAUUGAUGUCUCUACUCCUAAAGAGGAUUGGUAGGCCGAUACACAUAGUUUAUUUUCGACUCCAUGGUUUACGCCUCCACAUCUCACCACCCCCUGCAUGCUGGGCCUUUGUCCCUCCCACUGAAAAACGGAUCGAUUUUCCAGAUCUUCCUUCCAUUUUUUCGUGCUUGCUUCGGUGGGCGUAGAUUCAAUUCAACCAAGCAAAUAUUAGAUAAUUAAGAGUUUAGACAUCACAUCAUAUAUGUGAGAUCACUUUUUUAAAAGACAGACACAAGAUUUUCUCGAUAACCUUUCAAAACAAAAUUAGAUAUUUCUCGCGCACUACGUCAUUUAUUAUCUAUUAUCAUCUCUACUACUGAAUCAUAAUCACAACUUUCCUUAUGGAUUUUUUCUUCCGUCCCACCCGCAUGUCUUCGUUUUCAUCUAUAAGUUUUUUUUCUCGUUUUGUUCGACCUCCCCUCCCAUGUACAUUGCACCUUCCACCGAUUUUCACCCCACCGAAUUUUUCCAAAUAAAUCCCACCUCCCCUUGACCCCUCCUCCGCCCCUCCUCGUUUGACCUCCACUCCCACGUGUUCCCCACUUAUGCGUCCCCUCCCGACUCUAUUCGCCACUUCAUCCAUCCCCAAAAAUCAACGAUCUCCCCGAUUCUCACUCGGCCCUUUCUUCCUUACCUCAUGUGGAGAGCGCCACCUAGGGUUCCCUCUCACUCAGUUUAUUUCAUCAUGAAUGUUCACUCCCGACUGACGCUGCCUCUGCACAUCCCACUCCCCACCCCCCGGCCUCGCUAGGGCUCCAACCACCACCGCUCCCCUGCUCGCAAAUAUAUGAUUCUAAGAAUCAAGUCCUCAUACUCAUGCCUAUUUUUAUUAUAAGUGUUCUACAUUGCAACUUGAUUACGAUCCGGUCUAAAAAAUGGAAUUUAAUACUCUUGGAAAGGCUUAUUAGAAACCCAUGUCUUCAAGGUCUUCCUUUCGUGGGUUCGAUAACUCAGGGUCACCUCUGGGAAAAAGGCGAGAAUCCUUUCUGCUCAGUUACCAGGUCGCUAAAUGGACUCAUCACCACGACAUAUAGGGUGGCGGGUGGGGAAAGCCACACCGAUGGGGGCAAGGGCGGAGGAUGGCGACGUCUUGGAUGUGGGAAAUGGAGGAAGGACAUGGUAGGAGGGCGGUGGAUUUGAUGGACUUGGUCAAAUUUAUGGUGCGUCCGGUGUGUCUGAUCUGAUGUGACAGACAUGCCUGGGCGUGUCCGGGCCUCCUCAUAUCCGCCCCAGAUAUGAGCUAGAUAUGAGGAGUGGCAGCCAUCCCGGAUCUAUAGGACCAGUUUGAGGAGCCCGACUGGGUCACGAUUUUGUGACAGAUCAUUGAUCAGGUGGUUCACUCGGGCAUAUAGGGGUGUAUGAGGAGCCUGGUUGUAGACGCUCUUAACGAAAAUGCCAAAUGGGGGACAAGCUCCACGGAGGCCCAAUUUUUAAAGAUUCAAAAUUCAUACUUUUACAUUUUAAUUUUUGUUUGAAAAAUAAACAUAUACCUAGAGACAUAAUGUACACAAAAAAAAUUGUGGCUUCUCAGCACAUGCACUAUUCAUUCUCAGAGUAUAUGAUAUUUCUUAUGCAGCAGUUUGCAAUUCAUGGUACUUCAUCAUCAAAUUUUACACACAUAUCUAUUGCAUCCUUGUAUACGUGUAUAUUUGUUUUCACGAUCUUUUGACAAAACCGAAACGGUGAAACUGUUGGUUUAGGUUUUCACCUUGGAGCUCGGCCUCCAAAAUGCCCUACUUGGUUUUUAAUUAAUUUACUUAUCUCUUUGGUACUCAAUAAAUACUUCCAUUUAUGCCACAUAAAACCAUAGAUUAAAAACUGAAACGGUGAAGUUGUUUGUUCAGGCUUUCGCAUCGGAGCACAGCCCCCAAAAUGCCCUACUUGGCUUUUAAUGACUUUAUUUAUCUCUUUGAUACUCAAUAAAUUACUUGCAUUUGUGCCACAUAAAACAAUAGUUAAAAAACCAAAACGGUGAAGCUAUUGGUUUAGGUUUUCACCAGUCGGACCGUUGGCUCAUCGGUUCAUUAGUGAAAAACCGGGGAAAAUUUAAGCAUGGAAAAAGGCCCACCUCGACAUGCAAUUAUGCAUGCAAAGAGCUUAAAUGUUUUAGUUAUAUUAUUCUACUUCUAUUUAUUAAUAAUUUGUCAACAUGCAACCAUGCUUCCAAAGAGCUUAAAUGUUUUAAUUAUAUUAUGCAAAUUUUAUUUAAUGUUUAUUUUAUAAUUAUACAAUAAUCAUAUGUAUUUUCACUUUUAGUUCUUAUAUUAAUAGUCCAAUAUUUAUGUUCAUGUAAACAAAUACUCCCCUCCGUUCCUAAAUAUAAGUCUUUUUAGAGGUUUCAAAUGGACCACAACAUACAGAUGCACAUAGACAUGUUUUAGAGUGUAGAUUCAUUCACUUUAUUCCGUAUGUAGUCUCUUGUUGAAAUCUCUAAAAAUACUUAUAUUUGGAAACGAAGGGAGUAACAUUGAAAUAUAUUGCAAGCAAUUUACGCAGCAACACGGGUAAACUUGACUAUUUCAUGGAAAUUCAUAUUUCUUUUGUUUACGCAGUAACUUUGAAUAGCUAAACAAAAGAAAUAUGAAUUUCCAUGAAAUAUGUAAUAAAAACUGUCAUCAAGUUCAAUAUGGAUUAAUGAACUGCCUUACAAUGCAAUUUGGGAAAAAAAUUGAGAAAUAGAAACAACCACCCGAUGAAUGUGAAUAGACAAAAGUUUGCCAAAAUCUAAAUUGCCAUGCAUGAAACUGAUUCGGACCUCAUUUUAAAAUUUAAAACAACACAAGAAAAUGCCAUGAUAUACAAAAAAAUGCAGUAACGUCAAAUUGAUUAGGUAUAGUACACCCCCCAAAAAACAAAACAAAAACAUCAAUAAGCUACCACAUUCUCUAGGAUUUUCAUACAUAACACGCAGCUAGAACACAAGAAAAAUGCCAUCAUAUAUAAAAUCAUGCAUGGAAGAUUUGAGUACUAAAGGACAUACAAAAUUUUGCCAUGGAACACAAAAACAUUGAAAAAAAGACAAAAAAAAGUAUUUUAACUUGCCAUGGUUCUACAAUUUGACUUGCCAUGAUCAACAAAUUUUUCAAAUUUUAUGAUGAUAAUGAUUCAAAAAUCAUAAGUUCUAAAAAAGCAAAAAGGAAAUGCCAAGAUUGAGAUUAUAAAAAUGCCAUAACACUAAAAAUAGAAAUACCAUGAUCCAAAAAUUAAAAUUGUCAUGCUUCUAUAUUUUCUUUGUCAUAACAAAAAGAAGAAUUGCCAAAUGAUCGAAAAAUUGAAUUUGCCAUGCUAAAUUUGAAAAUUAAUUUUACCAUUAUAUAGGAAAAAGUGCAAUGCUCUAAAUAAUAAAAUGUCAUGCUUUGAUAAUAAAAUAUGACAUGCUCUUACUACUAAAAAUGCCAUGAUUCUAAAAAAAUGACAUGCUAUUUAUAAUAAAAAUGCCAUGGUAUUUUUAAUAAAAAUGUCAUGCUUUCACAAUAAAGAAUGCCAUGCUCUUACUACUAAAACUGCCAUGAUUCUACAAAGAAAAUUCCAUGCUUUUUAUAAUAAAAAUGGCAUGCUAUCUAUUAAAUGCCAUGCUUUCAUAAUAAAAAUUGCCAUGCUCCUAAAUGGCAUGAUUUUACAAAAAGAAAUGGCAUGCUCUUUAUAAUAAAAAAGUCAUUUUUUAACAUAGUACAAACGUAAGCGAUCAUAUAUAUGCGCAUACACUCACCCAUAUGAACGCACAUACACACACCCUAUCCCUAUGAACACCUCCGAGAGACUGAGCCGGCAUAUCAUCUUGAGAUUUACGAAGUCACCAUAUUUACUGGAAGGAUCUGUGGGGGCUAUCAUUAGAGACCAUAAUAGUAAUUUCAUGGCAGUGGCGGAUGAAAAACUGGACAUAUGUUAUGAUGCAAUUACCACAGAAGCAAUCGCAAUAAGGUUUGGCUUGAAUCUAGCCCGUGCCACUGGAUGCAACAAGAUCGAGUUAAAUUCGGACAGUCUUGAGGUCAUCAACGCGCUUAAGGAAGGGAGUUCUUCUUCGGUUGCCAGUGCCAUCUGUGGUGACUGUUUUUUAUGUCCUUAGAUUUUACUCAUAUUAUCUAUGAACACUGCUAGAAAACAAUAAAGUAGCUCAUGAGUUAGCUAGAGUAGUUAAAUUCAAUCCUCCUGGUGUUUGGCUGGAUACAGCCUCGGGGGCGGUUAUCCCCCUGAUUGUUUCUGAUGCUACUAUUGUAGCUAAUUAAUAAAGGAGGUGUUGAAUGUCAAAAAUAUCUCCUCUCACUAAAUGCGCAUCACCGAAGAUCUUGAAAUAAAUCCAAGAAAAUGCAAGGACCCAGGACUUGAACCCUGAUGGGUUAGGGAUACCACUAUCUUCUAAACCAUUCAACCAUAGGUUGGUUCGCAAUAAAAAUGGCAUGCCAUUUGUAAUUAAAAUGACGUGCUUUCAUAACAAAAAAUGUCACGAUUCUCCAAAAAAAUGCCAUGCUCUUCAUAAUAAAAAUGUCAUGCUUUCACAUUAAAAAAUUCCAUGCUCUUAAUACUAAAAAAGAGUCACGCUUCUAAAAAAAUGGCUUCCUCUUUAUAAAAAAAGUCCAUGCUCUUGAAGAUAAAAAUGCCAUGCUCUUCAAGACAAGAAUGUCAUGAUUCUAUAAUAAAAAAGAGUAUGCUUCUACAAAAAAAUGCCAUGCUCCCAGGUACACAAAUAACUGGCGAUACACAAAGUACACAUUGCCAUUAUGUAUUCUAUGGAAAACAGUUAUAGGAAUGUUGAUUUUUCGUGUUCACUAGAAAAAUGCCAUUCAAGGUGAGAAACAUCCCAUGGAAAAAAGCCACGAAAACUAUAAAACAACCAUUUAUGUUUAUACAAGGACAUGACAACUUAUCUGGGGGAAAAAGGGAUUGUACCAUGGAAACUUUUUUUAAAAUUUGUAAGGGACACAUGGGGGAGUUGGGUAUUUUAUUCUUUGAAACCACCAUGAUCUAGAGAAGAAAAGUUCUGCCAUGACCUAGAGCAAAGGCAGGUAUAAGUUGAUGUGUGUAUCAGUGAAAAAAAAGCCAUGUUGAGUGCUUAAACCCUGAAACUCCAGUGUCUAUAGAACAGAAAAAAAAGGAUUGUUAGUCCAAAUCCACAUGUGUUAACACAUGGAAAAGAUGGGCACUUUGGUUCUUUGAAACUACCAUGGUCUAGAGCAAGCAGUUCUUAAAAAUGUCAUGGUCUUUUUGGCCAUGACCUAGAGCAAAAACAGUUCUAAAAAUUCCAUGUGUAUCAAUAGAAAAAUGCCGUGUUGAGUGCUCGAAACAUUAAAAAUUACAGUGACUAUAGCGCAUAAAAGUCUGCUCUUAGUAGAAAAACAUAUGUAUCAACACAUGGAGGAAGUUGUGCAUUUUGGUUCUUUGAAACUACCAUGGUCUGCAACAAACAGUUCUUAAAAAUGCCAUGGUCUUUUUGGACAUGACCUGGAGCAAAAACAGUUCAAUAAAUGCCAUAUGUAUCAACAGAAAAAAAAUGCCAGGUUGAGUGCUUGAAACAUGAAAAAUUCCAGUGGUUGUAGCACAUAAUAAGUCUGUUGUUAGUCAAAAUCCACAUGUAUCAAACACAUCAGGAAGCUGGGCAUUUUGGUUUUUUGAAAAUACCAUGCCAUGAUCUAGAGCAAAAAGUUCUUAAAAACGCCAUGGUCUUCUUGGCCAUCACCUAGAGCAAAAACGGUUCUAAAAAAUGUCAUAUGUAUCAAGAGAAAAAUGCCAUGUUGAGUGCUUGAAAUAUGAAAUGCCAUGGCAUCGGACCUCAAAUUGCCAUGGCAAAAACAUAAAAAAAAGCAAAAAAAUGUCAUGGUAGUUUCGUUGUAGGUGCAAAAAUGGCAUUUUAUACUGUAGUUAUCAUGGUAGUUUUCAGUUGACAUUCCUCUAUAAAUAAUGGCACGAAACAGUAGGAAAAAAACUCUACUAUUGACAUCGUAGAAUGAAUGUCAAUUCUUAGAAACAGAGACACAAAAAAGCACCCAUAGAACAUUUUUUGAUCCAUGGCAAUUGUGUCAACAACAGUUUGGCACUGGUUCCUGUCAUAUACCCUGCAGCCAAUGGACAUCGAUGACAUCUACCCUAAAUCGGCUCGCUAGCACUAGUGGAUAAAGGCCCAUUUGUCCUGGUUCCAGAGGCCCAUUUGUCCUGGUUCUGGACCCGGAACUAAAGGGUUGGGACUAAAGCCGAUGACCUUUAGUCCCGGUUCACUCACGAACUGGGACAGGUGGGGCUCCAUGUGGCUGCUGCGGCGAGCCCCGGCAGGAGGGCCUUUGGUCCCGGUUGGUAACACCAACCGGGACCAAAAGGCAUCCACGCGUCAGCGGAUCAGGAGCUGGGGUUUUUUGGAAAGGGGGGGGGUUGGAGGUUUUGGAGGGUUAGUUUAAUUAGGGGUUUCAUAUAUUGUGUUAGCUAGCUAAUAGAGAGAAGUGACCUCUCUUAUCUCUAUGCUUGGUCGACGCUACGUACUAUACAUAUAGAGGACUCAACACGCUAGCUAGUAAGAAAAUAAAGGAAACCACUAAGUAUAGAAGAUCGCAUAUACAAAGAGAAGUGAUCGACCUCUCCUUCUCCGAGAGAUUGGUUGAACAACAAGUUUUCGUAUAUCUAUCCGGCGCUACUAGCUACAUAUAUACAAUAUAAGAUCUAUUACAAUCCUUAAUAUCUGAAGUCAAGUUGCACAUGGUAUUCUCCGGCUUUAUUGAUGACGUGGUCAAGAAAGAAUCCCGCCAAUUCCUCUUGAAUUGCUUUUAUGCGAUCAUGUGGUAGGAGCUCAUCCCGCAGCUGCCAGAUCUAAAUCGAAGAAGAGGGUCAAUACAUGUGUAUGAAUGAAACUCAACACAAAUGAUGGUAAUAAAAUACAAUUGUGAAUAUUUUUGCUUACGCACUUGAUAUUGUUUUUUCAGAGUAGCCCCGCUUAUUCUUGGCCGUCUCGUUGUAGAUGAACUCGCAAACAUAGUAUCCACAGAAAUCAUUUCCUUGUUCCUGCCACAAGCACUUUAUGAGAAAUAGAGGUCAAUCAAACUGGUAAGCAAGCAUGCUAAAUGGUAUUGAUGAAACUAGCUACAAUCAAUGGGAGAUGCGCGGAACUAGGUAGUAGUACUUACUUUCGGUUGUUUAAAUGUCAGCUCGGUCGGCAGUCCCGGAGAAAUUGCGGUGAACUCUUUCCAAACCCUGCCAGACAAAGAAAAUAAUUACUUGAUAUUAGGAAAUGAACAAAUUUGCCGAUAUGGUGCGAUAAUCAUCGAUUGAACUUACUUCUGGAGCAUUCCAGUCAUGUCUGCAUAGUCCUCGGGAUCUUUUCGUCUCGAGUCUAAGACGGUUACUUCUCCCUUCUCAAGCUUAAUCACUAGGAGAAUAAAGUGGAAACUGCGCACGCAUGCACAACUCAUCAGUUACAUGACUAUAACCUCGAGUAAUAAGGGAAACCGGAUAUGCACAAGACAGUAACACUCACUUGAAAUUGUAAGGAAAGAGUAUUUUAUCUUUGGUUUGAUUUUUGAGCAAGGAUUUUAGCAAGUUGUCCUCGGUUUCUGUGACAUUCUUUUGAACCAUCCAUUCAUGUAUAUGACAUUUGCGUUAAUGAACCCAAUGUCAUAGAUUUGUACUUUUCUGCAUUCAACGAUCUUCAAUCUGCAUAAUAUAGUGAUGAUAAUUAUAUAUACAUGCAAUGAAAGAGCUGAGAUAUAUAUAGAGAGACUUAAUUACAUAAAGUAGUACUUACAGACAGUAGCAAGCCACAAGUUAUUUGUCAAGGGCCUUUUGAUUGUAGAACUGGAAAAACUCAUCAAAAUCAACCGUUAAUAGUUCUUGGCCAAUGAAGUCGUGGUCCUCUUCAAUUCUCAUCGACAAAGCAUCCUUCCCAGACUCGCUGCAGGUUUUCAUGUACCAUUCAUGGAAUCUUCGCAUCAUCAUUGUUAGAGCAAGAAUAUCUUUGAUGAGAGGCUUCCCGUAAUGGUAUUUGAAUUCAUCCACCUCCAUUGUUUCAAAAUCUACAUCGUCGGGCAGGUAAUCACCAAUAUUGGUACCGGGCAGCAGCGGCUGAUUUGCGACGAUGUCGCUAGACACCUUGAGCGUGGGGAAUGAUUGGUUCUCCUGUUCUCCAAGCUGGAGAAUUUUUUCCCACUUAUUUGUUCUUUUAACCUUUUGUCAGUUGAAGUACUUCACAACUGGCACGCUUCUUGCAAUGUCUUUUUAAGAUAGCAGAGAUGGUUGUUAUCCGACGAAUACGAUGGUGGUCGCUUUACGGCAUUGAUAGUGCGCUUCGCUUUCACCGGAUCUAUCUUAUCCUCCGGAGGUGGAUGUUUCAUAGCUCUUUGCGUUUCAAAUAAGUCCUUCACUUGGGCUUGAACGAUCUUCGCAUUUUGCUCCACGGUCAUCUCGUAUGGUAACUUCUCUACAGGCUUGAGAGAUGGACCGAAUCUGUAUUGCCUCCGACCUCUGGCUGUGCUGCUAGAUGCCGGAGCGGCGGUGGCUCUCUUCCGUUGCUACUGACGAGUAGUAGAAGGAGGCGGAGUGGUCUGACGCGCCGGAGCAGCCGGAGCGGUGGCAUCUAUGUUCUGCCAUUGCCGACGAGGCGGAGGAGGAGGCGGGCUGCUCGGACGCAUCGGAGCAGGCGGAGAAGGAGGCGGAGUGCCGCCCUCACGCGCCGGAGAAGGAAGCGGAGUGCCCUGAUCACUCGCCUGAGGAGGAGGAGGCGGAGUGCCCUGACUCGUCGUUGGAGAAGGAGGAGGCGGAGGCGUGAAGUUCAGAAGCUUGAUGUGCUCCUUCCACCAUAGACAUGGAGUCUUCAGAGCAAGACCCAUCUAAGUCUCCUCUUCACCUGUAGCAUGGUCAAGCUGUUGCUCCUCAAAUCCCUCCGUUAUUUCAUCCACCAUCACAACAGCAUAGCCUUGUGGGAUCACAAGGCAGUGAAAAGUUGUGUCGGGUUCAGGAGGUGCAACAGAGCCGACAAUCGCCUUGACUUUGAGGUUCUGCCACUGCGUCAUAAGUUGGCACUGUUGAGCCUCCAUGAUAGAAUCCACGGGGUAGCUAGGAGUUGUGAAGUCAGGCUACUGAACGAGCUCAGUGGAAGCCACGCUGCUUCCCCGCUGAGAUGGCGGGGUAGCUUCUCGGGUAGCUUGGGCAGGUCGCUGGCUCUCAACAACUUGUUCCUCUAGCUUUCCUGCCCUUGCAUUCAGCUUCUGCAGUUUUCUCAGCUCCACUUUCCUCCUCCUCUCUUGGGUUUUGUAACCGCCUGCGCCAGGAAACCCAACCUUCCACGCAACAAAGCCUGGCGUGCCUCGCGUUCGUCCAGGGUGCUCAGGAUUCCCGAGGGCCUAUAUGAGCUCGUCGUUCUCUGUCGGGAACGAACAUCCCUUGCUGCACUACGGUGAUAUACUUCUGAAGCUUCUUGACGGGUAUUUCAAGUUGCUCAUCUGUCCAAAUGCACUUCCCUGUUUCAGGGUCCAAGAUUACCCCAACCCCAAAGAACCAAGUCCUUGAACGGUCUGGCCAGUUCAAUGUCUCUGGUUCGACCCCUUUAGCAAUCAGGUCAUUCUUAGCCUUGUCCCACAACGGCCGGGAUUUGAGGUAGCCACCUGACCCCGUGCGAUGGUGAUGCUCCUUCUUUGCAGCAUUUAUCUUGUUUGUCGCUAACAUCUUCUUACUCUUCUCCGAUUUCUUGUGGGCACAAGUGCGGCCCGGUGAUCUCUUAUCUUCUCAAAUUGGCGAGUGAAUUCUGGAGUCUUGUCUUUGUCGACAUACAUUGAUUUCAACUCAUUCUUCCACCUCCUGAAUAGAUCUGCCAUUUUCCUGAGAGCAUGAGCCUUGACCAAUGGCUCUAUAAAUGGCUUAUCCGGAUCCUCCUCUGGCGGUAGGGUGAAAGUUUCUUUCAACGUGGUCCAAAGAUCAUCUUUCUAUCUAUCUUCGACAUAAAAACUUGAGGGUCUUCAUUCUUAGGCGUAUACCAUUGGUGGAUGCUGAUCGGGAUCAUGUCCCUAACAAGAACCCCGCACUAAGCAGAAAAUUCUUCCUUGGUCCGGAUGGGUUCAAUCGGUUGGCCAUCGCCCGUGAUUGCUGUGAUCAUGAACCUUUCAUCCUGGUGCAACCUUUUCUUCAGGCCUCGUCUCAUUACCGAAGUUUGGCUCGAUCCGGAGGGCUAUAAAAUAAGAAAAAAGAUUUAAUAUAUGUACAUACCAAAACAAUUAAUGCAUCAAUUUGCUAGUCAGCACAGGCUGACUAGCAAAUUGAUGCAUUAAUUCUUCUCCUCUCCUUUUUCUUCUUCUUCCUCUUCUUAUUUUUUCUCCUCUUCUUCCUCUCCUCUUCUUCUCCUUCUUCUUCUCCUCAUGUCGAAGGUAUCGGGGAGGGGGUAUAUCGACAAUGACAACAUACAUACAUGGAAAAAAUUGUUAUUGGGGAGGGGUAUAUCGACCCCCCCCCCUCAUGUCGAAGUUAUCGGGGAGGGGGUAUAUCAACAAAAUUGCAUCAUCAUAUAUCAUCAAACAAAAUUACAACAAAAUAAAUUGACCAAGUUUUCAUAUAUAUCAUCAUCAUCUAGUACAAAAAAUUGACCAAGUUUUCAUAUAUCAUCAUAUCAUCAUCAUUAUCAUCAUCAUCUACUACAGAAACAAAUUGACCAAGUUUUCAUAUAUAUACUAAAAAAAAA